AAUGAACGCUGGCGGCGUGCCUAACACAUGCAAGUCGGAUGUGCCCGCAAGGGUGCAUGGCAGACGGGUGAGUAACGCGUGGGGAAUCUACCUUUUAGUGGGGAAUAACGCUCCGAAAGGAGUGGUAAUACCGCAUGUGACCAUCGGCUGGGAUGCUGAUGGUGAAACCCUGGGACCUUCGGGCCAGGGGCUAGAAGAGGAUCCUGCGUCUGAUUAGCUAGUUGGCGGGGUAACGGCCCACCAAGGCGACGAUCAGUAGCCGGCCUGAGAGGGUGAUCGGCCACACUGGAACUGAGACACGGUCCAGACUCCUACGGGAGGCAGCAGUGGGGAAUUUUGCGCAAUGGACGAAAGUCUGACGCAGCAACGCCGCGUGGGUGAUGAAGGUCUUCGGAUUGUAAAACCCUGUCGCCAGGGACGAAGGGUGGGGCGUGAAUAGCGCCUUACUUUGACGGUACCUGGAAGGAAGCCCCGGCUAACUCUGUGCCAGCAGCCGCGGU
rnacentral:rRNA from 1 species